rnacentral:rRNA from 1 species
UGAGGAAUAUUGGUCAAUGGACGCAAGUCUGAACCAGCCAAGUAGCGUGCAGGAUGACGGCCCUAUGGGUUGUAAACUGCUUUUGUAUGGGGAUAAAGUGCGUGACGUGUCAUGCAUUGCAGGUACCACAUGAAUAAGGACCGGCUAAUUCCGUGCCAGCAGCCGCGGUAAUACGGAAGGUCCGGGCGUUAUCCGGAUUUAUUGGGUUUAAAGGGAGCGUAGGCUGUCUAUUAAGCGUGUUGUGAAAUUUACCGGCUCAACCGGUGGCUUGCAGCGCGAACUGGUCGACUUGAGUAUGCAGGAAGUAGGCGGAAUUCAUGGUGUAGCGGUGAAAUGCUUAGAUAUCAUGACGAACUCCGAUUGCGCAGGCAGCUUACUGUAGCAUAACUGACGCUGAUGCUCGAAAGUGCGGGUAUCAAACAGG